UGAGGAAUAUUGGUCAAUGGGCGAGAGCCUGAACCAGCCAAGUAGCGUGCAGGAUGACGGCCCUAUGGGUUGUAAACUGCUUUUAUGUGGGGAUAAAGUGCGUGACGUGUCAUGCAUUGCAGGUACCACAUGAAUAAGGACCGGCUAAUUCCGUGCCAGCAGCCGCGGUAAUACGGAAGGUCCGGGCGUUAUCCGGAUUUAUUGGGUUUAAAGGGAGCGUAGGCUGUCUAUUAAGCGUGUUGUGAAAUAUACCGGCUCAACCGGUGGCUUGCAGCGCGAACUGGUCGACUUGAGCAUGCAGGAAGUAGGCGGAAUUCAUGGUGUAGCGGUGAAAUGCUUAGAUAUCAUGACGAACUCCGAUUGCGCAGGCAGCUUACUGUAGCAUAACUGACGCUGAUGCUCGAAAGUGCGGGUAUCAAACAGG
rnacentral:rRNA from 1 species